rnacentral:ncRNA from 1 species
AUGAAAACGAAGAUAGAGACAUAUAUUUAUGUUAAACAGUCUUAGAGAGUCGGUGCUUGCUGAAAGCCGAUACUGUCCAUAGAUAUAGAUCACUCUUGAGUUAUAUCUUUGAAAACUUCUUGUAAGUUAGUAGAGGAUAUCGAUUAGCCCCGUUAAAGGCUUAGGUUUGUUGGAACUGAAGAAGAGGUAUCUAUUUUUAUACGUAGAUACAAUUAAGGUGGUACCGCGGAUGAUAUCCGUCCUUAAA